rnacentral:rRNA from 1 species
AUGCUCCCUUCUCCCCAUCGCCGCCGCCACCUUUGCUCGCUACACCAUAGCCACAAGGCCAUCCCCAUCCAAAUCCAACAGCCGCUGCACGUAGAAGAGGCGGCGGGCAGGCGGGGCGCACCGGCGCGGCCCUCCGUGUGUGCGCACCGGCAGGCCCUCGAGGCGGCGCCGUCGGGGAUCGUCUCCGGGCUCGACCUCGGCUACCUCAACUCCUCCCGCGCCGGCGGCUCGCUCCGCAAGGUCCCUGCCAAGGCCGGCGCCGCUGGGGCCUGCGUCUUCGCCGACCUGUACGCCCUCGGGGGCGCGUCCCUGUCGGACCCGCUGGAUGAGGAGGACAGGGCCAAGUGCCUGCACUCCAUCAUGCUCGCCGGCGACGAGUUCCCUCCACGGCCAUGGCCUCGGCCUCCCUUCCCCGACCGCCAAGACGCCGGCGCGGAAGCUGCUCUCCGCCACCGUCAGGGCCAUGGCGCCGGCUAG